rnacentral:rRNA from 1 species
GACGAACGCUGGCGGCGUGCUUAACACCUGCAAGUUGAGCGGGAAUGCCCUUCUGUUGUUUUGUGCUCGAGUGGCGAACGGGUGAGUAACACGUGAGUAACCUGCCCUUUGCUUUGGUGUAACUUCAGCAAACUGGUGCUAAUACCGGGUAGUUACUCCUGCUGCAUGGUGGGGGUUGGAAAGUUUCGGCGGUUGGGGUUGGAAUCGCGGCUGAUCAUCGUGUUGGUGGGGUAGUGGCUUACCAAGGCUUUGACGGGUAGCCGGCCUGAGAGGGUGACCGGCCACAUUGGGACUGAGAUAAGGACGAGACUCCAACGGGAGGCAGCAGUGGGGAAUACUGCACAAUGGGGGGAAGCCUGAUGUAGUAACGCCGUGUGCGGGAUGACGGCCGUCGGGUUGUAACCCGCAUUCGCCUGUGAUGAAGGGUGAGAGCCGGUAAUGGGUAACGAAAAACCGGCUACUAACGUG